GGGUAUGUAGCUCAAUGGUAGAGCUUUGAAGGAAAUCCUUGACGCGGGUUCGAAUCCCGUCAUACCUU
rnacentral:tRNA from 1 species